CUUUCUUUGCUGGCGACCGGCGCACAGGUGAGUAACACGUAUCCAACCUGCCCUUUACUCGGGGAUAGCCUUUCGGAAGAAAGAUUAAUACCCGAUAGUAUAAUGAUUCCGCAUGGUUUCAUUAUUAAAGGAUUCCGGUAAAGGAUGGGGAUGCGUUCCAUUAGGUUGUUGGUGAGGUAACGGCUCACCAAGCCUUCGAUGGAUAGGGGUUCUGAGAGGAAGGUCCCCCACAUUGGAACUGAGACACGGUCCAA
rnacentral:rRNA from 1 species